CACAUCCUCUGCUGGGCUACCUCGAGCAUGUUGAUCCAUCUAAUUCUACCUGAGGACAUGAAAACUGCUCCAGCUGCACCUGGGAGGGAAAAGGAGCCAAAAUCUUCCUCCAGAGUGGGAUUUUAGGAGCUGUUGAUCUCUCCCUGGUGAGCGGCAAGACGGAGCCUGAAUUUAUCUUUUUAUCUCUAAAUGAAGAACCACAGCUAGAGCACAGUGAGCAGGUACUGGGAAAAUCGUGGACUUCCAUGGACGAAUGGUUGGAGGAGCACUAAGAGGAAGCCCUGCAAUUUCCCGAUGAUCUGUCCUCCAAAGAACACGUCUAAAGCGGACUCCUCGGCCUCGUGGACAUUGUCAGUGCUUUCCAUAGCGCUGCCCGGGCUUGUCUGGGAAUGGGAACGGCUGGUGGGAGCUCUGGCAGAGCACCUGGAGACCA